UUGAUCCUACGGGGGGCAGCAGUGGGGAAUAUUGGGCAAUGGGCGCAAGCCUGACCCAGCAACGCCGCGUGAAGGAAGAAGGCCCUCGGGUUGUAAACUUCUUUUGUCAGGGACGAAGCAAGUGACGGUACCUGACGAAUAAGCCACGGCUAACUACGUGCCAGCAGCCGCGGUAAUACGUAGGGGGCAAGCGUUAUCCGGAUUUACUGGGUGUAAAGGGCGUGUAGGCGGGAAAGCAAGUCAGAUGUGAAAACCAUGGGAUCAACCUGUGGCCUGCAUUUGAAACUGUUUUUCUUGAGUACUGG
rnacentral:rRNA from 1 species